rfam:Aedes albopictus isolate Foshan contig105007, whole genome shotgun sequence.
UCAACGGUUCUUUUCAGGACCAUAGAAAAGUAUUCCUGAAGAGAUGU